rnacentral:rRNA from 1 species
CCUACGGGGGGCUGCAGUGGGGAAUAUUGGACAAUGGGCGCAAGCCUGAUCCAGCAAUGCCGCGUGUGUGAAGAAGGCCUGCGGGUUGUAAAGCACUUUAAGCAGGAAAGAAGGGGUGAAAGUUAAUACCUUUCAUCAUUGACGUUACCUGCAGAAUAAGCACCGGCUAACUCCGUGCCAGCAGCCGCGGUAAUACGGAGGGUGCGAGCGUUAAUCGGGCGUGCUGAGCGGGAUUGGCGCGUAGGCGGUGAAAGCCCUGGGCUUAACCUGGGAACUGCGGUGGAUACUGUCGGGCUAGAGGGUGGUAGAGGGGAGUGGAAUUUCCGGUGUAGCAGUGAAAUGCGUAGAGAUCGGAAGGAACACCAGUGGCGAAGGCGGCUCCCUGGACUAACACUGACGCUGAGGUGCGAAAGCGUGGGGAGCAAACAGGAUUAGAUACCCGUGUAGUC